rnacentral:rRNA from 1 species
UACGGGGGGAGCAAACGUUGUUCGGAAUCACUGGGCUUAAAGGGCGCGUAGGCGGGUUCGUAAGUCUGUGGUGAAAGCCCCCAGCUUAACUGGGGAAGUGCCAUGGAUACUGCGAGUCUUGAGGAGGGUAGGGGCAUCUGGAACACUGGGUGGAGCGGUGAAAUGCGUUGAUAUCCAGUGGAACUCCGGUGGCGAAGGCGAGGUGCUGGACCCUUUCUGACGCUGAUGCGCGAAAGCCAGGGGAGCAAACGGG